rnacentral:misc_RNA from 1 species
GAAGAAGAACGCAGCGAAAUGCGAUAAGUAAUGUGAAUUGCAGAAUUCAGUGAAUCAUCGAAUCUUUGAACGCACAUUGCGCCCAUUAGCAUUCUAGUGGGCAUGCCUGUUCGAGCGUCAUUUCAACCCUUAAGCCCUGUUGCUUAGCGUUGGGAGCCUACAGUACUGUAGCUCCCCAAAGUUAGUGGCGGAGUCGGUUUCACACUCUAGACGUAGUAAUUUUUUCUCGUCUGUAGUUGAGCCGGUCCCCUGCCGUAAAACACCCAAUUUAUCAAGGUUGACCUCGGAUCAGGUAGGAAUACCCGCUGAACUUAAGCAUAUCAAUAAGCGGAGGA